AGGACCCCGGGAAGGAGGAUCCCGCGGACGGCCGCCGCCCGAGUCAAGCUGUACCUUAGCUGCUCUUGGGUGCUGAAGGCGAAUUCACAGUAACUCAAAACUCUUCUGACACCCACUCCGUAAGUGAACUUCAGGUCUUUUUCGAGAUGAAGAUCAGUCUCUGUUAUAUGAUGACAUGUAUUUCUGGCGACCUUGCGGGCGGUCACUACUAUUUCUUAUCUCCGUCCAAACACAGCUGCUGCUCUCGGACUCUUCCUUCACCAGGUGUCAGAGUUCCCACGUUCUCCUAUAAAAUGACAUAUGUGUGUAAUCAAUCAGAAUUUCACCUUAGGAAACACCUUUAGGAAACAUUGUCUUAAAAUAUGCUUUCACUAAUUGACUUUUCCCUCAUGUACUGUUUGCAUAUGCGAACACACACACACACACACACACACACACACACAGAAUCAUCCUCUAGAGAUGUAUUUUCUCACGUAUGUAGUUCUUAAAUAAGAAAUUAUGAUUCAAAUGUCAUUGCUUUUGGAGGAACUCUGUUGAAAAUCAAAGCAAAAUGACUUUCAUCUAGGUAUAACUCCACAUGUAUCACAAUAUGCACACAUUUAGACAAUUUAUUUUGCAUUCAUGUAAUUAUAAAGGUAAAUUCUCCAUAUUAUGAGAUUGUUAACCAAGGCAUGAAUUUCACUUUCUCCUAUUUUUUAAGAACUGGAGCAUUCUAACCAAAGUGAUUUGUUUCCCUUUUAUAGUUCAAUGAAUCUGCUUACCCUCCUAUUGUUUGCAGACUGUCUGAUAUACAAAAUACUGAAAUAUUUAAUAGGUGUUCUUUUCAUCAGUAGAAAUUUAAAAGGCGUUUUCUUCUUCAAAAACUAUGAAAUGGAAAAAAUUAUUAAAGUAAAAUAAAGUAAAAUUCACUAGGGUGAAUUUAAAUCAAUUCUCCCAUCCACCAAAUGAUUAAGGAUAGUGACUAAAAUCAUACAUUAAGUAAUGAGGCUUAAUGUGUUGCUCUUAACAGAUGAACAUGAUGUUUUUUUUCUGUUGUGGAAUAUUAAUAAAAAUACAUUUU